rnacentral:rRNA from 1 species
UACGUAGGGGCCUAGCGUUGUCCGGAUUUAUUGGGCGUAAAGAGCUCGUAGGCGGUUCGGUAAGUCAGGUGUGAAAUCUCCACGCUCAACGUGGAGGCGCCACCUGAAACUGCCGUGACUCGAGUCCGGUAGGGGAGUGUGGAAUUCCUGGUGUAGCGGUGAAAUGCGUAGAUAUCAGGAGGAACACCUGUGGCGAAAGCGGCUCACUGGACCACAACUGACGCUCAGGCGCGAAAGCGUGGGGAGCGAUCCGG